GUGGGAGCAGCUGUCUUCUACGCAUAGCUAGAAUUUAUCUUGUAGGUGAACAGACUUACAUUUGAUUUCAAGACGGGUAGACCCCGAUGAGCUUGAUAGCGGUGUAUUGUUUUUGACAAGGUAGUAAUUAACUUGGCAUUUAAUGGUGUACUUCUUCGGUUGGGAAAACCGAGGAGAUGAAUGAAACUCUUAGAUUGUUACGUGUGAUAUAUAUCAAGACCUUUUACGAAAGAAAUUUUUAUAAAGAAAAGCUACCGCGGGGAUAACAGCAUUGUCCUUUCGGAGAGAAUACAUUGAUGAAGGGGUUUGUGACCUCGAUUUUGGAUCAUAGGAUUUCUGGGCGGUAAAGAGGCUGCCUGUGAGGGACUGUUCGUCCUUUAAACUUUU
rnacentral:rRNA from 1 species